GAGAGAGAUCUGAACAGCAUCUCAGAGAAGAUCUCGAACUCCCUUUUGUUUCUUUACUCUUCUCUAUUUAUUUUUCAUUUUAUUCUAUUGUAGUAUCAUUCAAACCUUCAUACUAUUCCCUAUGAAUAUGUCUGAGUAGUCUCGUUGUUAAAUUUAGGGUUCCUCAAAGGUUUAUAUAUGGUUUGCUAAUAUGAACUGUUGUUAGAAUGAUUUAAUUAGUUGUUCAUCUAGUUGUUCUUACUGCUAAGUCUAGGAUUGAUCAC
rnacentral:lncRNA from 1 species